GGUGGGGUGGCCGAGCGGCUGAAGGCGCCGGUCUUGAAAACCGGUUGACCCGUCAGGGUCACGCGGGUUCGAAUCCCGCCCCCACCG
rnacentral:tRNA from 1 species